GCCGCAUUGUGUCAUAAAGAGGUGGACCUUGGUGAUGCUCUCUGUUUGUGGAAUAAGUGCUUCAAUACACACCCAACCCGGUGGAGGGGACGGCGCGUCGUGAGCCGACGGGGAGGGGGGGAGGGGGGGGCGCCGAGGUGCUGCUCCUUCUCUGGGGGAGGAGAAAAGCAUCAGUUUGGAAAAUCAUAAGGGCCGUGGAAAAAAGGGGAACCCGCUCCGUGGAAGCUGAAUGGACGAGGCCGCCGCGACGUCACGGCGCGCCGCAGCCACGAAGCACAAAACCAAGCAGGGCGCGACCCACGGGAGCUCAGUCCUGUUCAUCGCCUGGCUCGUGCGGCCGCCGGUUGUGGGGGAGGCGUGGGACAAAACCCCUUGGAUCCACGCGAAGUCCCCGGGGAAGGAAGGGAAUUGUCUCAGAGAAAGUUCUGGACUGGCAGACCACGUGGCACAAGGUAACCUCAAGUGAAGCGCAAAAAUGUCUUCGUUGUGAAAUGACUGGAAACAAAUGGACUAUUUGGUUAAUAAUUCAAAAUUAAAUGGGCGGAGAGGGUGUCUUUUUCGUCCUGCCCCUAAACGCCAAUAAUCCUGUAUCCAUUUCGCUCCAUAUGUUUCAUUACCUGUUUAUUUAUGUAACGCGAACUGAACAAAUGUAGGACUGUGAUCAGCGUUCACUUCUCGAGAUCUGCUUCCAAAUGGGUGUGGGUUUAGGUUUUAAGCUCAAAAGACAAAUGAUGAAAAGGUAUUUCUGAUUGGAAUUUAAGAAAAGGAAAAGAAAAAAAAAAAAACUGCAGCCACGUAUGAUUGUUGCUGUGUGGCUCAGUGGUUGUGUUUCUCUUAUUGCUAUUUGUGUCAUUUAUAGCAAAUAACAGUUCAACUUAUUUUCAUGUUAAAAGACGUGCACGUGUGCUUAUUUAAUUAGUAACAGUUGGUGAUUUAGCUGUGACCUCAUAUUACACUGGCGGUUCUCUAAUUUAUAAGAACACCAAAAAUGAACUAUUGCUAAUUGAAAUGACAGAUAUAUUGGAAACACACCUAUGAAGAGGAUGAAAUGACUGCAGUAAUGAAAGUGUGGUUCACUUGCCACCUUGGAAGGUUUCCAAUCUCAGCAGAGUGAAAGAAAACUUUUUCAGUAAUGAUUUAUAAGAUCCUAGAUGAGGUUUACUACAAUUACUCUGUGUACAAAUCAGACUGUAUUUUUACACCCAUCACCUAAAAAUAAACUUCAUUUCAACUCAGUAAAAGUAAAGAAA
rnacentral:lncRNA from 1 species